UACGUAGGGUGCGAGCGUUAAUCGGAAUUACUGGGCGUAAAGCGUGCGCAGGCGGUUCGUUAAGUCAGAUGUGAAAGCCCCGGGCUCAACCUGGGAACUGCAUUUGAAACUGGCAGGCUUGAGUAUGGCAGAGGGGGGUGGAAUUCCACGUGUAGCAGUGAAAUGCGUAGAGAUGCGGAGGAACACCGAUGGCGAAGGCAGCCCCCUGGGCCAAUACUGACGCUCAGGCACGAAAGCGUGGGGAGCAAACAGG
rnacentral:rRNA from 1 species